GGUGCCUCUAGAGGCGUUGCAGGCGUGGCUGCCGUGUCACGUGAGCAUCCGUAGGCGGCAGGGAGGAGAGCGGCCAUGUCUACCCUCAGUGUUCUGACCUACGAACAUCUGAAUCAUUAGUAGCCUAGCAUU